ensembl:piRNA 21ur-4548 ncRNA
UUUUAAGCAUGGCUUUUGUAA